AUGAACGCUAGCGACAGGCCUAACACAUGCAAGUCGAGGGGCAGCACAAGGAGCAAUCUGAGGUGGCGACCGGCGCACGGGUGAGUAACACGUAUGCAACCUGCCUGUAAGCGGGGAAUAACCCGUUGAAAGACGGACUAAUACCGCAUAAUACUAAAUUACUGCAUGGUAAUUUAUUUAAACAUUUAUGGCUUACAGAUGGGCAUGCGCAUGAUUAGCUAGUUGGAGAGGUAACGGCUCCCCAAGGCAACGAUCAUUAGGGGUCCUGAGAGGAAGGUCCCCCACACUGGUACUGAGACACGGACCAGACUCCUACGGGAGGCAGCAGUGAGGAAUAUUGGUCAAUGGACGAGAGUCUGAACCAGCCAAGUCGCGUGCAGGAAGAAUGUCCCUAUGGAUUGUAAACUGCUUUUGCAGGGGAAUAAAGUGCAUCACGUGUGAUGUUUUGUAUGUACUCUGCGAAUAAGGAUCGGCUAACUCCGUGCCAGCCGCCGC
rnacentral:rRNA from 1 species